UUUUUUUAUUCUCUGCUUCAUUUCUUCUUCUUCUAUUCUUCUCUUCUUCUUUUCUUCUUCUUCUUUUCUUCUUCUCCUUCUUAUUUUUUUCUUCUCUUCUUCUUCUUCUUCUCCUCCUCCUCUUCCUCCUCCUUUUCUCCUCUUCUCCUCCUCCUCCUCUUCUUCUUGCUCUUCUUUCUAUUAAGCUAACUAACUAACUAACCUAACUAACCAAGCU
rnacentral:lncRNA from 1 species